UAGGCAAGAGCAAUCAUGAGGCCUUAUAUGCUUAUCUAUCUCAUCCAUUGAUGAUCUCUUUCGAGGAACAGAAGGACUUCUUGUUCAUUUAGAGAGGAUCAAUCUUUUGAUUUUGGUACUUAAUAAACUAAAUCUUGAGCAUUGGAGGAGGUAGCCCCUGGACUGGUGAAGAUGCAAAUGGGGACACGAGGAGGUUCAUGGUGGUUCCAGGCUCAUCUCUUUGGUGAGCAGCAGUGCGCUACGUUGGACAGUUACCAAGGCUGGACGGAGGUGUGCUCGUGCGGCCGGACGGUGUCGUCCUGGUCGAGCAGAUCGCCGUACCAAGGCUGCCUGCCGGACUCCAAUUCCCUACCGCUGUCAAGCUCUAGAUCAAGCUCCACAUGGACCUGUCUAUCCGUGCGAUACUGCGUUUCCUCUGGUGGCCGUCUGUUCCGCUUGGCGUUUCGUCUGGAUCUGAGAGGAUAAGGCCUCAAGGAGGGAGAUGGGGAGGUUCAUGGAACCAUGGAAGUUUUCAGAUGAGAUUAGUUGAAAGAAAAGGGAAAUUUCCCAUGCUGCCAUGCGAGAGUCAGAGGUGGGUGAGUUCCCUGAUCCCCGGCUGUAGCAACAUUGGCCACCACUCUAUGCGCAUCUGUGCCGCGAAAAUCAGAUUUCAUGCGUAUCAAGCAGAUUGUGAAGAAAAUGUACCUGAAGAUGGUUCCUCAAUAUGAGAAUCCGAUUAACAUUGUCUUCAAGAAUUAAGGCAAAUUGUUUGUAUGUCAUUAAUCCUCUCCUGUGAAGAUUCAGAAUCAUAAAAGAUAGUAUUCAGGUACAGAUGGACAGGCUUCAUGUUCAGGAAUUUGACACACACGGUGGAGAUUUAAUGGACUAACUACCUUUUUUUAGGUACCAUCAUGGUUAAUUACCGACACGUGUAGUUAUUGGCUGCAUUCUAUUAGACAUACAGAGAGCCACACUGAAAAAUUUCUAUUUAGAGGAAGAAGUGGGCACAAGUAGACUGGAAAAACACAAAACAGCGGGAGAUGUCAUGUUCAGCAGCGACAACACCAUUGCUCUUCAUGUUUUAAGUUAAACCUGUAUUACUUCAGAAUGAUUAGUCAAAGAUCGGUGAUUGUUA